UAGGGAAACUGUCGUCUUGAUGGAGGUGGU
rnacentral:piRNA from 1 species